rnacentral:misc_RNA from 1 species
CUUAAAUGACAUUUGACAUGAUUCGAAGCGAUUAGCGAAUCUAAAACGGUUAACUUUCGGCUACCUUCAUAUUGUUUUAUUAAUAUCAAAGAAAGCCGGCGAGUCUUAUUAAUUAAAUUAAUACAUAAAUAUAAUCCUUCAGUUUCUUACCAGAGUUAAAUGAGAAGACAAUGGCCGCUAUACUUGGCGGUGGGCUGGGUGGUCUCUCUACAGGCUAUUAUUUGCUCAAAAACAAUUUAAAUUCUAACAAUAAUUUAAAACUGUACCUUCUAGAGGCUACUAAUUACUGCGGCGGAUGGAUUAAAUCCAUAAGGACAAAGGAUUACGUUUUUGAGCAGGGCCCAAGAACUAUACGGCCCAAAGGAGUUACCGGGCUUAAUACACUGAAUAUGAUACAAGAUUUGGGCCUUAGCGAGCAUAUAACACCUAUAAAACCGGACCACCCUGCCGCUAGGAACAGAAUGAUAUACGUAAACAAUAAUUUGUAUUUAUUGCCUUCAAGUUUAAAAGGUGUAUUCCAAAAGAAUGAGCCCUUUUCGAAGCCGCUGAUUUACGCACUUUAUCACGAUUUAAAGAAGCCUCACAAACAGUUGAAAGAUGAUUCGAUUUAUAACUUCGUUGAAAGAAGAUUCGGGAAGGAAAUUGCUGAUUAUGCAAUUUCACCAAUGAUUUGUGGCAUCUGUGCUGGGGACGCUAAAGAGAUUUCAGUUAAAUUUUUAAUGAAAACUCUAUUUGAAUGGGAGCAAACCCACGGAGGUGUCGUAAAAGGUUUGAUGAAGUCAUUGUUCAGUUCCAAGACUGGAAAUGAAUUAGUACUAAGUGAUUUAGCAAGGAAGGCUCAGGAAGAGAAAUGGAGUGUUUACACGAUAAAAGGUGGCUUGGAAAUGUUUCCCAACAAACUGCAAGCCCACUUAAAAGAUAACAAUGUAACCAUGAACUUGAGUACAAAAGUUGAAGCCAUAGAAUUUGUAGACUCUGGAUCUGUUUCGUUAAAUAUUCAAACAGGAGAAAAGUUAUCAGUGAAUCAUGUGUAUUCUUCAAUACCAGCUUAUUGUCUAGCAAGCUUAGUACAAAAACAGCAUCCAGAAUUAGCUAAAACACUAAAAGAUAUACCAUUUGUAACUGUGGGGAUAGUAAAUUUGUAUUUUGCCACUCAAAAACCUUUGAUAAAGCCAGCAUUUGGUUUCUUAGUUCCUCCGAUUGAAAAUUCUCCCAUAUUAGGUGUAGUCUUUGAUUCGUGUUGUAUGCCAGAUCAAAAUGGAACUGUUUUAACAGUGAUGCUUGGAGGCAGAUGGUUUGAAGAAAAAUUUGGAAAAAAUACAACAUCGGAGAAUUUAUAUAACAUUGCUGUCAAAGAAGUAGGUUCGAUAUUGGAUAUUAAAGACAAACCAACAGCAUUUAAUGUGAAUAUUUUAAAUAGAUGCAUACCUCAGUAUGUAGUAGGACAUUAUGAGAGAGUUGAUGAGAUUAGACAAUACAUAAAAAGUAAUAAUUUGCCAAUUUCUUUAAUAGGCAGCAGUUAUGAUGGUGUAGGUAUAAAUGAUGUUAUUUAUUCUGCAAAAAGUCAAGUUGAAGAGACUUGAGAAUUGUUGUUACUUAUUAAAUUCUCAAAGUAUAAUUAACCAUAUAUUUUUAUUUAUUUUUUAAUUUUUUAUUAAUUAUGUUGGCAGACAUGCCCAUGGUCUAUUUGCAGUAGUGGUUUCCGAUGCAAUUUGAAAAUUACUACUUUAUUUCAUUGCCUCAUUGAGAUAGUGAAGAUUUACUCACUACCAUACCACUGGAUCUGGGUCCAGUAGUAGUGUUUAAGAACACAGUUAUUCAGAAAAAGUGCUUAAUUUUGCACCUAAGCAAAUAUGAUACUGAUCAUUAUGUAAUUAAUUGCAUACCCAAAAUUAUUAAGUUGUAGUUACAGCCAAGUGUAUAGGUACUGCAUUUUUCUUAAAGAAAUGUUUGCCGAACUUGAACAAAAUGUUCUCUUAAAAUAAUCUCAGAAUAGGUCUAAGUUAGGCUGAAUACAUUAUGCGUCUUCCUCUGCAUUAGUAAUUAAAUCAAAUAUUAGAAGUUGAUCAACACAUUUAAAACUAAGUUAGGCCAACUAAAAGUAUAUUAUUAUGGUAUUAAACACUUGCUACACCCCUGACAAUGUUGAUGUCAAUGAAGAGACCACUCACACAUCAGCUGGGGCCAUAUGCUGCGAACGCAAUAAAAUAACUGCAACUCUGUUACAAGACUGAAGAAUAAAUAAA